GGCGCUGACCACUUUGUGGCUCAUGACUGGGUGAAGUCGUAACAAGGUAACCGUAGGGGAACCUGCGGUUGGAUCACCUCCUUACCU
rnacentral:rRNA from 1 species